rnacentral:tRNA from 1 species
CUCGUCGUGGCCGAGUGGUUAAGGCGAUGGAUUAGAAAUCCAUUGCGGUCUCCCCGCUCAGGUUCGAAUCCUGUCGACUGCG